ACUCUGAGCAGUGGAUCACUAGGCUCACGAGUCGAUGAAGAACGCAGCUUGCUGCGAUAAUUGGUGUGAAUUGCAGGAUUUGCUUCAAUCAACGAAACU
rnacentral:rRNA from 1 species